rnacentral:lncRNA from 1 species
UAGUUUUGGCAAUUGAUGUAAAAGUUUAAAGAAUUACUUGUUAUUAUUCCAAGUGGGCCUUGUUUGCUCACUCUUCCCUGUAAAAUUUCUUACAGCUAAAGCUGAAAAGGGUGAUGUACCUAGCACCAGUAAGGGAAAAGGAAAGACGACCAAAUAUUGAAGACUUGUAAUAGUUUUGAUAGUUUUAUUAUCAGACUUUGGUUUAAAGAUUGUAAUGAAGUUUAUUUAAUUUUCCGCAUUUGAAUG